rnacentral:rRNA from 1 species
ACUCCUACGGGAGGCAGCAGUGGGAAUAUUGGACAAUGGGGGGACCCGUAGCAUCCAGCCAUGCCGCGUGUGUGAAGAAGGCCUUAUGGUUGUAAAGCACUUUAAGCGAGGAGGAGGCUACUGAGACUAAUACUCUUGGAUAGUGGACGUUACUCGCAGAAUAAGCACCGGCUAACUCUGUGCCAGCAGCCGCGGUAAUACAGAGGGUGCGAGCGUUAAUCGGAUUUACUGGGCGUAAAGCGUGCGUAGGCGGCUUUUUAAGUCGGAUGUGAAAUCCCUGAGCUUAACUUAGGAAUUGCAUUCGAUACUGGGAAGCUAGAGUAUGGGAGAGGAUGGUAGAAUUCCAGGUGUAGCGGUGAAAUGCGUAGAGAUCUGGAGGAAUACCGAUGGCGAAGGCAGCCAUCUGGCCUAAUACUGACGCUGAGGUACGAAAGCAUGGGGAGCAAAC